UCUUAUUAAGAGAGGUGGAGGGAUAGGCCCUUUGAAGCCCGGCAACCAGUAUUUUAUACAUGGUGCUAAAUCCUACUUAUGGAAUAGCCAUAAGAAAGAUAAGA
rnacentral:ncRNA from 1 species